rnacentral:lncRNA from 1 species
GGAAGCACAUUGCAUCCAUUAUUUGUCACUAUGUGAUACAUUCGCUUAAACUUAGCAGCUCAGAAGGAUACACACAAGGGCUUCAGUUUCUAUGGUACUCCAUGCAAUACUCCAGUCGGUGCCUGUGCUUCAGUGUCUCUCACAGGCUGGUCAUCUCAGCAUCCAUCUGAAGGAGGAUCUGCACCCAGAGUCCUUCAUCUGGCUGUGCCUUGGGCUCAGUUUCUCAAUAUGUGGAGCUUUGUAUAAUCAUCCUGGAGUCUUCGCAACAGGCAGCUGACUUCAUCUAGAAUGAAGAUGUAGAACACUCAGCUUCUCCUGAACCGUGC